UUUAUACAUUUUAAUGAAUACAUGAAUCACCUGGGGAUCUUGUUAAAAUACAAAUUCAGAUUCCAGGUGGGCACUGAGAUUCUCCACUUCCAACAAGCUCCAAGGUGCUGCUGAAGCUGGCAUCUGGGACUGCACUUUGAAGAGCAAGGUUAUUAGUAGAAAGUUACGGCCCCUUACUGUCCACUUCACUGGUGGGGUAACAGAGUUGCCGAAGGUCAUGCAGGAGUGAUGGGUGGGACGGGAACUCCACGCCCCAGCCUCCCGAGGCAAGGCUCUCCACCGCCACCCGACCUGGCUCCCCUGCUGCUCUCAGCCCUGCUUGCUAUUGCUUCUCCCAAUUCAGAGCACUUCUCCUCCGUCUUGGCUGUGCAUUAGAAUCACAUGAGAGACUUUAAUAUACAGCCAGGGUUGAGGCUCACUGAUUUAGAUGUACCGGGUAAGCCUCACCCCAAAUACCCUCUUCACACCCUGCCUGUCUCUCCCACGCCUGACAAAAACUGGCUAGGAGUAACUCCAAAUAAAAUACGAAAGGAUUACCAGAUGGGGAAUGUAACUUAACCAGGACACAGCUGGCUAAAGCCCUGUCUCCUGCUACUACAGCACCACAGUCAGGAAUCCAAACGGCCUUGGGAGGAGAGGACAUUCCAUCUCAUUCCAUGUCCCCGCGAGCAGAUUUCAAGAGGCAUCUCCAAGGAUCGAGUUUGGCUCAAGCACAGUUCUAGGUGCUGGAGAUGCAACCUUGAAGAAGCCUGAUAAAAACUUCUUGCCCUCAGGAGCUCAUGUACUAAUGGGAGGGAGAGAGAAGCAGCAUGAUAAUUAAGUGAAUUAUAUAAUGUGUUAGGAGAUGAUGGGUGCUUAAAUAAAAUGACACAAAUAAAUAUGGCGGCCAAAAUGGA